GCGGACGGGUGAGUAACACGUGGAUAACCUACCUAUAAGGCUGGGAUAACUUCGGGAAACCGGAGCUAAUACCGGAUAAUAUAUUGAACCGCAUGGUUCAAUAGUGAAAGACGGUUUUGCUGUCACUUAUAGAUGGAUCCGCGCCGCAUUAGCUAGUUGGUAAGGUAACGGCUUACCAAGGCAACGAUGCGUAGCCGACCUGAGAGGGUGAUCGGCCACACUGGAACUGAGACACGGUCCAG
rnacentral:rRNA from 1 species